GGGCCAGACUCCUACGGGAGGCAGCAGUGGGGAAUAUUGCACAAUGGGCGAAAGCCUGAUGCAGCGACGCCGCGUGAAGGAUGAAGUAUUUCGGUCUGUAAACUUCUAUCAGCAGGGAAGAAAAUGACGGUACCUGACCAAGAAGCCCCGACUAACUACGUGCCAGCAGCCGCGGUAAUACGUAGGGGGCAAGCGUUAUCCGGAUUUACUGGGUGUAAAGGGAGCGUAGACGGCAGGGCAAGUCUGGAGUGAAAGGCAGGGGCCCAACCCCUGGACUGCUCUGGAAACUGUCCGGCUGGAGUGCAGGAGAGGUAAGUGGAAUUCCUAGUGUAGCGGUGAAAUGCGUAGAUAUUAGGAGGAACACCAGUGGCGAAGGCGGCUUACUGGACUAUAACUGACGUUGAGGCUCGAAAGCGUGGGGAGCAAACAGGAUUAGAUACCCGUGUA
rnacentral:rRNA from 1 species